UCUUCCCUCUGGCGGCGUGCCUAAUACAUGCAAGUCGAGCGAACAGACGAGGAGCUUGCUCCUCUGACGUUAGCGGCGGACGGGUGAGUAACACGUGGAUAACCUACCUAUAAGACUGGGAUAACUUCGGGAAACCGGAUCUAAUACCGUAUAAUAUAUUGAACAGCAUUGUUCAAUAGUGAAAGACGGUUUUGCUGUCACUUAUAGAUGGAUCCGCGCCGCAUUAUCUAGUUGGUAAGGUAACGGCUUACCAAGGCAACGAUGCGUAGCCGACCUGAGAGAGUGAUCGGCCACACUGGAACUGAGACACGGUCCAGACUCCUACGGGAGGCAGCAGUAGGGAAUCUUCCGCAAUGGGCGAAAGCCUGACGGAGCAACGCAGCGUGAGUGAUGAAGGUCUUCGGAUCGUAAAACUCUGUUAUUAGGGAAGAACAAAUGUGUAAGUAACUAUGCACGUCUUGACGGUACCUAAUCAGAAAGCCACGGCUAACUACGUG
rnacentral:rRNA from 1 species